rnacentral:rRNA from 1 species
CAGUUCGGAUUGCAGGCUGCAACUCGCCUGCAUGAAGUCGGAAUUGCUAGUAAUCGCAGAUCAGCAUGCUGCGGUGAAUACGUUCCCGGGCCUUGUACACACCGCCCGUCACACCAUGGGAGUCGGUAACACCCGAAGUCAGGAGCCUGUACCUUUUUAGGAGGGCACUCGCCGAAGGUGGGAUUGAUGACUGGGGUGAAGUCGUAACAAGGUAAC